AACGAACGCUGGCGGCAGGCUUAACACAUGCAAGUCGAGCGCCCCGCAAGGGGAGCGGCAGACGGGUGAGUAACGCGUGGGAAUCUACCCAUCUCUACGGAAUAACGCAUGGAAACGUGUGCUAAUACCGUAUACGUCCUUAGGGAGAAAGAUUUAUCGGAGAUGGAUGAGCCCGCGUUGGAUUAGCUAGUUGGUGGGGUAAAGGCCUACCAAGGCGACGAUCCAUAGCUGGUCGGAGAGGAUGAUCAGCCACACUGGGACUGAGACACGGCCCAGACUCCUAGGGGAGGCAGCAGUGGGGAAUAUUGGACAAUGGGCGCAAGCCUGAUCCAGCCAUGCCGCGUGAGUGAUGAAGGCCCUAGGGUUGUAAAGCUCUUUCACCGGUGAAGAUAAUGACGGUAACCGGAGAAGAAGCCCCGGCUAACUUCGUGCCAGCAGCCGCCGUAACAC
rnacentral:rRNA from 1 species